UACCAGACACACGCUCGAGCGAAGGAACUCCCGCUCGAGCGAAGAACGAACUAACUCGCUUGAGCGAAGAAAAGCUCGCUCGAGCCAAAACCCUCAGCUCUCAGGUCUUACUACAAAACGCAAUCCUCGCUCGAUCGAAGAAACCCUGGCUCGAGCGACGGACCAAAACAAAGAGCUCGCUCGAGCGAAGAACUGCUCGCUCGAGCGAAGGGUCAAAAUUCUGGGCAGCAACCCUUUGCUCUCAAGCUCAACCAACCUGCUACAAACCUGCCCAUUGCAUCCCCCAACUCAGAAAUAGGAAAUUAAAGGACAGUAACAAUCAUAAUACAAUGGCAGGAGCUACGGAACCUAAGUCCGGAUACAAUAAUCAAAUGGGAAAAGACCGGGGUCAUUAUCUUACUAUAUUUUUUUCUAUUUCAUGAUACUAAAAUUGUCCCUUUAGAUGUAGAAGAAAUAAACAUAAAAUUGACUCUUUGGUAAUAUUACAUGAGAGUUUUUUUUUUUCUUUUUUCUUUUUUGUUUUUGCCUGUAGUUCAAAUAAAGAUAGGAGAGAAAAUUAUUCUCUUUUUUCUUUUAUUUAUCCAAUCAAAAGAAACAGAAAACACAAUCUUUUCUCUUGUUUUCUUAUCUUCCCUAACCUAAGUAAUCAUUUCUAGUUCAACAAAGAGAUUGUUUUCAAUGUUCACAAAAGAUGGAAAUGAAAUAUACUGAAGUUUUACUUUUGUAAAGCAGUUUCAUUGUGCUGAAACAUUGACACAAUCGGCCAUUAUUUUUUUUUGGUUGGCACUCUUCCACUUGAAGAUCAUGAUUCAUAUCCAUACUCUUCACAUUGGUGGAACAUGAAAAUUUAGCCCAUUAGGAGAGAUGAGCACAUAUUUUACUGCUAUAGAGCUAUUACUGUGCAACUGAUUCCUUAGUUCAAACUACGCUACAUACCAUAAUUGGAGCAUCUUAGAUUAUUAGAACUUGAAGGAACUACUAUAAAUUGAGAUUAUUUCAUUUGCUUUCAGUUUUAUCCUUUUCCAUUGUCCUAGAAAAUCAGAGUCCUGUUAUCUUUAUUCCCUCUUAUUUGUUCCCAGGAGCAUUUUGCGGAGAAUGCCAAAUUAUCUGCAAACUAUUUUAUUGCUAAUUGUGAAGAUAUGUUGAAAGUUGCUGCUAUAAUUGAUGAGUUGCUCCUCGGGUUGCAUAAUAAGUUCCUUUUCUGCAUUAGAUAUUUUCUAGGUAGCAGUUUGCUUCUUGUGGAAUGCAGGCGUGUGAAGAUUGCGG